ACGGCCUAAAUGUUAGUUUUAUGUUGAAUUUAUUGUUUAGUUUCAUUUGUGGUAAUUUUGUUAAGAUUCCGGAAAAUACGGUUAUCCGGUUUCCGGUUUUAGUAUAGACGAAUAUUAUGGGAUAGCGUUAUCCAAGCGCAGCACAUGUUUUGAGUAUGAGAAGAUUCGUUCGGACUAUCGUAGGAUACGAUACGUCAAUCUAUCUACGUAGAACUAUCAUUGAGUCACUACACCUGUACUGUACAUGUAUGUAGUUGAACUGAUGUCAAAGAUAAUAAACACAGAUGAAGCCAG